UCCCCGGUGGUUCAGUGGUUAGGGCUCUCUGCGUCCAAUGCAGGGUUGCAGGUUCGAUCCCUGGCUGGGGAA
rnacentral:tRNA from 1 species